rnacentral:rRNA from 1 species
GAUGAACGCUGGCGGCGUGCCUAAUACAUGCAAGUCGAGCGAACGGACGAGAAGCUUGCUUCUCUGAUGUUAGCGGCGGACGGGUGAGUAACACGUGGAUAACCUACCUAUAAGACUGGGAUAACUUCGGGAAACCGGAGCUAAUACCGGAUAAUAUUUUGAACCGCAUGGUUCAAAAGUGAAAGACGGUCUUGCUGUCACUUAUAGAUGGAUCCGCGCUGCAUUAGCUAGUUGGUAAGGUAACGGCUUACCAAGGCAACGAUGCAUAGCCGACCUGAGAGGGUGAUCGGCCACACUGGAACUGAGACACGGUCCAGACUCCUACGGGAGGCAGCAGUAGGGAAUCUUCCGCAAUGGGCGAAAGCCUGACGGAGCAACGCCGCGUGAGUGAUGAAGGUCUUCGGAUCGUAAAACUCUGUUAUUAGGGAAGAACAUAUGUGUAAGUAACUGUGCACAUCUUGACGGUACCUAAUCAGAAAGCCACGGCUAACUACGUGCCAGCAGCCGCGGUAAUACGUAGGUGGCAAGCGUUAUCCGGAAUUAUUNGGGCGUAAGCGCGCGUAGGCGGUUUUUUAAGUCUGAUGUGAAAGCCCACGGCUCAACCGUGGAGGGUCAUUGGAAACUGGAAAACUUGAGUGCAGAAGAGGAAAGUGGAAUUCCAUGUGUAGCGGUGAAAUGCGCAGAGAUAUGGAGGAACACCAGUGGCGAAGGCGACUUUCUGGUCUGUAACUGACGCUGAUGUGCGAAAGCGUGGGGAUCAAACAGGAUUAGAUACCCUGGUAGUCCACGCCGUAAACGAUGAGUGCUAAGUGUUAGGGGGUUUCCGCCCCUUAGUGCUGCAGCUAACGCAUUAAGCACUCCGCCUGGGGAGUACGACCGCAAGGUUGAAACUCAAAGGAAUUGACGGGGACCCGCACAAGCGGUGGAGCAUGUGGUUUAAUUCGAAGCAACGCGAAGAACCUUACCAAAUCUUGACAUCCUUUGACAACUCUAGAGAUAGAGCCUUCCCCUUCGGGGGACAAAGUGACAGGUGGUGCAUGGUUGUCGUCAGCUCGUGUCGUGAGAUGUUGGGUUAAGUCCCGCAACGAGCGCAACCCUUAAGCUUAGUUGCCAUCAUUAAGUUGGGCACUCUAAGUUGACUGCCGGUGACAAACCGGAGGAAGGUGGGGAUGACGUCAAAUCAUCAUGCCCCUUAUGAUUUGGGCUACACACGUGCUACAAUGGACAAUACAAAGGGCAGCGAAACCGCGAGGUCAAGCAAAUCCCAUAAAGUUGUUCUCAGUUCGGAUUGUAGUCUGCAACUCGACUACAUGAAGCUGGAAUCGCUAGUAAUCGUAGAUCAGCAUGCUACGGUGAAUACGUUCCCGGGUCU